rnacentral:rRNA from 1 species
CGCGUAGGCGGGUGCUCAAGUCCGGGGUGAAAUCCUCCAGCUCAACUGGAGAACUGCCUCGGAUACUGGGUGCCUCGAGGGUGGUAGGGGUAUGCGGAACUAUCGGUGGAGCGGUGAAAUGCGUUGAUAUCGAUAGGAACUCCGGUGGCGAAGGCGGCAUACUGGACCACCUCUGACGCUGAGGCGCGAAAGCCAGGGGAGCGAACG